AGAGUUUGAUCCUGGCUCAGGAUGAACGCUGGCGGCGUGCCUUAAGCAUGCAAGUCGAACGGAUGAGGCCGCAAGGCCGAACUAGUGGCGGACGGGUGAGUAAUGCGUAGGAAUCUGCCCCAAAGUGGGGAAUACCUCCUCGAAAGAGGAGCUAAUACCGCAUAUGAAAGUAAUUUUAAAGGGCGUAACUGCCCGCUUUAGGAUGAACCUACGUCCUAUCAGCUAGUUGGUGGGGUAACGGCCUACCAAGGCGAUGACGGGUAGCUGGUCUGAGAGGAUGAUCAGCCACAAUGGCACUGAGAUACGGGCCAUACACCUACGGGUGGCAGCAACUGGGAAUAUUGCGCAAUGGACGAAAGUCUGACGCAGCGACGCCGCGUGGAGGAUGAAGGCUUUAGGGUCGUAAACUCCUUUUGUAAGGGAAAACAUCGAUGGUACCUUACGAAUAAGCACCUGCAAACUACGUGCCAGCAGCCGCGGUAAUACGUAGGGUGCGAGCGUUAUCCGGAUUUAUUGGGCGUAAAGAGUCCGCAGGCGGUCUUUCAAGUCUAGAUUCAAAUACCAGGGCUCAACCCUGGAAAGGGUCUAGAUACUGGGAGACUAGAGGCAGAAAGAGGAAAGCAGAAUUACCAGUGGAGCAGUGAAAUGCGUUGAUAUUGGUAAGAAUACCAAAGGCGAAGGCAGCUUUCUGGGUCUGUCCUGACGCUCAUGGACGAAAGCUAGGGGAGCGAAGCAGAUUAGAGACCUGCGUAGUCCUAGCCGUAAAACGAUGGACACUAGAUAGUAGAGGCAACUUUACUGUCGCAAGCUAACGCGUUAAGUGUCCCGCCUGGGAGUACGGUCGCAAGACUAAAACUCAAAGGAAUUGACGGGGGACCGCACAAGCGGUGGAGCAUGUGGUUUAAUUCGAUACAAAGCGAAUAACCUCACCUGGGCUUGACAUGCAACUGGAAAUCCUAUGAAAGUAGGACCCCUUCGAGGCUGUUGCACAGGUGCUGCAUGGCUGUCGUCAGCUCGUGCCGUGAGGUGUUGGAUUAAGUUCCAUAACGAGCGCAACCCCUAUCCAAAGUUACAGAUGUCUUUGGAGACUGCUUCUUUAAAAAAGGAGAGGAAGGAGGGGAUGACGUCAAGUCAGCACGGCCCUUAUGCCCAGGGCUACACACAUCCUACAAUGGCGAACAACAACGGGAAGCAACACGGCAACGUGAAGCAAAUCCCUGAAAUUUCGCCUCAGUUCAGAUUGAGGGCUGAAACUCGCCCCCAUGAAGUCGGAAUCGCUAGUAAUCGCAGAUCAGCAAGGCUGCGGUGAAUACGUUCUCGGUCCUUGUACACACCGCCCGUCAAGCCAACAAAGUUGGGGGUACCCGAAAAUGGUGAUUUAACCCGCAAGGGAGAUAACCAUUGAAGGUGAACUCAGCGAUGGGGACUAAGUCGUAACAAGGUA
rnacentral:rRNA from 1 species